rnacentral:rRNA from 1 species
GACGAACGCUGGCGGCGUGCUUAACACAUGCAAGUCGAACGCUGAACCCGCUUCGGUGGGGGAUGAGUGGCGAACGGGUGAGUAACACGUGGGCAACCUGCCCCCGGCUCUGGGAUAACUCCAAGAAAUUGGGGCUAAUACCGGAUGUGACCGCUGGCCGCAUGGUCUGGUGGUGGAAAGGGUUUCCGGCUGGGGAUGGGCCCGCGGCCUAUCAGCUUGUUGGUGGGGUAGUGGCCUACCAAGGCGACGACGGGUAGCCGGCCUGAGAGGGUGACCGGUCACACUGGGACUGAGACACGGCCCAGACUCCUACGGGAGGCAGCAGUGGGGAAUAUUGCGCAAUGGGCGGAAGCCUGACGCAGCGACGCCGCGUGGGGGAUGACGGCCUUCGGGUUGUAAACCUCUUUCAGCAGGGACGAAGCGCAAGUGACGGUACCUGCAGAAGAAGCACCGGCCAACUACGUG